rnacentral:rRNA from 1 species
UACAGAGGGGGCAAGCGUUAUUCGGAAUUAUUGGGCGUAAAGGGCGCGUAGGCGGCCUGACAAGUGGAAGGUGAAAUCCCUCGGCUUAACCGAGGAACUGCCCUCCAAACUGUUUGGCUUGAGUCCGGGAGAGGGUAGUGGAAUUCCCGGUGUAGUGGUGAAAUGCGUAGAUAUCGGGAGGAACACCAGUGGCGAAGGCGGGUCUCUGGGCAAUUCCUGACGCUGAGGCGCGAAAGCGUGGGGAGCAAACGGG